CAGUCAUCCCAGCUCCCACCGCCUUGGAAGGAGCUGCUUCCCCAAAGAGCAGGAACGGGAUUCCCACCUCCCCCCAGUCGCGAGGCUUUCCUGCGCUUCUCCUCUGGAAGGAUCCGGAUUACUGUCUGGGGUAUGGGCUGCCUCCUGGGGCGAAGCUGGAGUCCCCCCUAAGGGCAAAGGACCUUUUGCUUGAGGGAGGGAGGGAGGGAGGGAGGGAGGGGAGCCCUGGAUCGCCCUCUGUUUCUGUCUUGCAAGAAACAAGGAAACAGGAGGAUGCAUUGUAUCCGCAUUUUGCAGCGCGCUUCUUCUCCGCUUUCUGCUCUCGGUUUCUUGCGCUCAAAGCGUCGCGCAAAAGAGCCGAGCUCUCCUGGCGGAUCGCGCGCUCCAGACACGGGGAUGCUGCUUCCUGACUUCGGAUUGGCUGCCUGUCACCUUUGGACGAUGCCCAUUGGUCAGCGAUGGUUCUUUGAGAAAUCCUGAUGUUUCAUUGAGGGGUUUCGGGACUCCAUUGAAGGGUUUACAAGCCUCUUCGCUGCAGAACGGGGAGGGGGGUUUCUAGGGGGGGGCACGCAGGCUCGUCGUCCUGCGUGGGUGAAUGGGAUUUGGGGGUGUUUGGAUGGCCUCUUAGUCCCCAGCUCUAUCAACAGCUUGCGGGGUGAAAGGCCCGGAGGGGUCACCUGAGGUCUCUCUCCCCCGACAAGGCUGCUUUGUUGUCUCUGCAAGGCUGUCCUCCUGGCGGUCCUUCUUCUCCUUUAUUUCAACCCCUCACCUGUGAGGCCCCUCCCAAUCCCCCACCCUCAGGACUGGAAAAUGGAAGAGUGUUAUAAACAAAAUUGAGUGAAGCCAAGGAUGAUGACGGGGAUUGAAAAUUCUGCAAUUCACAAUUUCUCCUCUAAAGGAGAUAAGACGUUAUUGUUCAAUUCCAUGGUGAUUUUUAAAAAUGCAUAAUAUUAACAC